rnacentral:rRNA from 1 species
GUGACGAUAGCCUAGGAGAUACACCUGUACCCAUGCCGAACACAGAAGUUAAGCCCUAGAACGCCGGAAGUAGUUGGUGGUUGCCCCUGUG